AGCUUUAUAGUUUAAAAAAAACAUUAAUCUUGUAAAUUAAAAUUAAAAAAUUUUUAAAGCUU
rnacentral:tRNA from 1 species